rnacentral:lncRNA from 1 species
UUACACAUUACUUAAAUUAAUAUUAUUGCUAAUAAAUAAUAAUAAAAGUAUUGUAUUAAUAUUAUAUUUUUGUAGGGUGCAGGUGAUCGUAAAUCAAAACAAAAAUGCGCAUCGGGUCAAAAAAGAUGCAUCUCCGCGGAUGACUAGCCAAUCGUAUGGGUCAACCCCAGUUGCACACUAGAAGGAGGCUAAGUUCAGCCGUUCAGUUCACUGCAACCGAUUCCCAGUAGCCCGUGCAUCUCAUUCCGAUGGAACCCGCGUGCAACCUAUCCCCCCGCAAGUGAGUCACGGCGCCCACGAACCAACGUCCAAUUCCCCCGCGAUUAACUCGUCCGCGCUUCAGCUCCCGCGAUCACGAGCAUCCUAGCUUCUUGAUUCUCAGCCGUCCGCUCCUCCCGUAGGUCCCGUGAUCAAUGCCCAGCUUUCUCCUCCGUUCCAACGAUCGUGCCUCCUCCGUUCCAGCAUCCCAGCUCCUCCAGAUCAAGCAACAUCCAGCCGUGAUCAGCUCACACGUCCCAGAAGCUUCCCAGCGGCAAUCCGGAAGAGAUCGCGAUCCAUCCACGCGUCUUCCGGAUUCAUGAUCGCCCAGCCAUCCCUCCGCAUCCGCUCCACAUUUCCAGCCUCCUGAUCCGCCCGCGAUCACUCCCGGCUGUCCGUGAAGCGUCCCGGCAGCCCGUGAAUCAUCCCGUGCCAUCCUCUUCUUCCGUUUGCUCCCAGCUCUUCUCUGCAAUCAAAUCUUCAGCUUCCAAGAUCACCGCCCAGCCGUCCGCCUCCUCCAUCACGGCCGUUCUCAGCGCCGGAUCUGGCCGAGAUUAGCUCCAAUGCUUCAGCCUCACGCGCCCAAGAUCCAGCCGUUUGCCUCUAAUGCAUUGAUCUCCAGCGCAUUCCGAAAAGAAAAUAGGGGGCUGAUUCGUGGGAAGAAGAGGAAGAAUAGAGGAGUCGGCUGCUGCGGUUGAAGGGAAAAGAGAAGAAGGAAACAGGGGAUGCCCUGUUUCCGAGAAGAAAAAGAGAAAAAAAUAUAGAAAGGAGUAACAGGGGAGAGUCUUUGAUGUUGAUGGCUGGCUAAUCCUUU